GAGAGUCACAUGGCCGAUCUUUAGCGUGGCCGGCCUGGUGGCUCCGUGGGCUAACCCAUCGGGCACUUUCUAAAGUCCAGACAAUUGGAUCGACUCCCAGAGACGCUGGGGAGUUAAAGACGAGCCCCGAGCCUCCCCGUCAGUCUGAGAUCUAAGCCCCGGGUGUAGCUCUCGUGCUGUCGGGGUGAGUUUGUGUAGGUGGCUGUUCUCUACCACGCCGGCCGUUUUGGGGGGUUCCAUUUUCGGGGCCCUCCAAAACAAGGAAAAUGGGGGGUUUAAGUCCUUUAUGAAUGAAUAGUAAUGAACGGAAUUCUAAAAAGCAGCCCCUUAUACCACUGAGACACCUGCAGGACGGGUGUGGCACUAGCAGUGAAAGAGAGGUGCAGUCCUAACUAGGAGCGGCAGGGGUCCCUAUCCAGCACAUUCCUCUUGAUUCGGUCAGCUGGCCGCAAGCUAGAAGUUCCCGUCGAGCACAGCCUCGUAGGGGAGUGUUACUGUUUUAGGUUUUCUGAAAAUCCUUUAGCCGACAAAUGCUUUAUGUAUGAUCUGGUGAGCUGAAGCUUCUAUGUAUCUCCAGUAACGUCAGUGUUGAAGCCCUUGUAACAGAAUCCGCAGCUGUCCGUCAGGACCGGAGCCCGCCUCCAGAGUGACCUUCCUCAGCGGACACGCCCCGUCCACCUGUUCCACAGGUGCGCUCGGCAAGAUGGCGGCGGGACGAGCUGGGGCGGCUCGAGGACGCCGAAAUGAGUGUCCUGUCCGUUGGAGCGUGCUCUCGAAGUUUGAAAAGUUUGUAUAAAGGUGCCAAAAGGAUUUCAAGAACGGGAUACCAGUAAUUAAAAAUG